rnacentral:rRNA from 1 species
AGUGAACGCUGGCGGUAGGCCUAACACAUGCAAGUCGAACGGCAGCGCAGUAAGAGCUUGCUCUUACGGGUGGCGAGUGGCGGACGGGUGAGGAAUACAUCGGAAUCUACUUUUUCGUGGGGGAUAACGUAGGGAAACUUACGCUAACACCGCAUACGACCUACGGGUGAAAGCAGGGGAUCUUCGGACCUUGCGCGAUUGAAUGAGCCGAUGUCGGAUUAGCUAGUUGGCGGGGUAAAGGCCCACCAAGGCGACGAUCCGUAGCUGGUCUGAGAGGAUGAUCAGCCACACUGGAACUGAGACACGGUCCAGACUCCUACGGGAGGCAGCAGUGGGGAAUAUUGGACAAUGGGCGCAAGCCUGAUCCAGCCAUACCGCGUGGGUGAAGAAGGCCUUCGGGUUGUAAAGCCCUUUUGUUGGGAAAGAAAAGCAGCAGGUUAAUACCCCGCUGUUCUGACGGUACCCAAAGAAUAAGCACCGGCUAACUUCGUG